rnacentral:rRNA from 1 species
UACGGAGGGUGCAAGCGUUAUCCGGAUUCACUGGGUUUAAAGGGUGCGUAGGUGGAGUGGUAAGUCAGUGGUGAAAUCUCCAAGCUUAACUUGGAAACUGCCGUUGAUACUAUCAUUCUUGAAUAUCGUGGAGGUAAGCGGAAUAUGUCAUGUAGCGGUGAAAUGCUUAGAUAUGACAUAGAACACCGAUUGCGAAGGCAGCUUGCUACACGAUCAUUGACACUGAGGCACGAAAGCGUGGGGAGCGAACAGG